CACGUAGGGGGCGAGCGUUGUCCGGAUUUAUUGGGCGUAAAGAGCUCGUAGGCGGCUCAGUAAGUCAGGUGUGAAAACUCCAGGCUCAACCUGGAGACGCCACUUGAUACUGCUGUGGCUAGAGUCCGGUAGGGGAGCAUGGAAUUCCUGGUGUAGCGGUGAAAUGCGCAGAUAUCAGGAGGAACACCAGUGGCGAAGGCGGUGCUCUGGGCCGGUACUGACGCUGAGGCGCGAAAGCGUGGGGAUCAAACAGG
rnacentral:rRNA from 1 species